GGCCUUGAAAGAAGCUACUAAACUAGGCCCAUUGUACAUAGGUGUUUAAUGGGGUUUGGUCUAGCAGUGGGGCCAACUGGCUGGAUCUGGAUAGGGUUCUGGGUCCCGCUUUAAGCCUAACAAAAAAAAAAAGAAAAAAAAAAUCUAUUUCCGAGUCAGCUGAGUUUGACCAACUCCAUUUCGUUGUCUCAUCUCAAUCAAACUCUAACUCUCUCAAAAUUCUAGGUUUUGCUCUCGUUUCCGUCUUUCUUCUUCUCCUUCCACUGGAAGGUGAAAAUGUUACCAUCAAUGGAGAACCUUCAUCAGCAUCAGCAUCAUCAUCAGUAUCUAGGUAUGUUUUCCUCAAAUUACAGAAUCUAAUUGCUCUCAAUAAAACUAGGGUUAGUUCCAUGUUCUCUUUCUUUUCUACUAGUAAUAAUCUUAAUUCUUCUGAUUCUUCAUUUAUAGUUAGUUAUUUGAUAAAUUCAUAUGGAUUAUCUGAAAAUUUAGCUCUCACUGUUUCUUCAAAUCAAAUUCGAAAUCAUAUCCCAACCAGAUUCAACCUAGAGAUUUUGAGAUGUGAAGGUGUCCCUGAAUCUACUAUUAUCAGCUGUCUAAUUAACAAUCCUAGAGCAUUUACAAGAGAUGCUGAUAAAUCUAAAAAGAUUGUGGAAAAUGGUUAAGGAAUGGGUUUCAAUCCUUUACAUACAUUAUUUAUUUACUGUAGCUAUAUGGAAAUUGACAUCAAUGAGUAAAGCCACUUGGAAAUCAAAAAUGGAUGUUUACAAGAGAUGGGGUUGGUCUGGAGAUCAGAUUCAAACAGCAUUUAGGAAAUGUCCAUGUUGUAUGACGUAUUCCGAGAAGAAGAUCAUGGAAGUUAUGGAUUUCCUUGUGAAUGAAGUGGGUUAUGAUUCAUUAAGUACAGCUGAAAACCCAAAGAUUUUAAAUGGUAGCUUGAUUGAAUGGAUUAUCCCUAGGGGCUCGGUUAUAAGAAUUUUAGUCACAAAGGGUUUGAUUUAGGAAACAAUUUGUCUGAGGUCACUUGGAGUGACGGCAAAUAAACCCUUCUCGGACAAGUUUGUGAAACCAUAUGAGCAAGAGACUCUCGAAUCAGGAUUACAUAAUCAGUAUGAGCAAGAAGCUCCUGAAUCAAUGAAGGCAUUUAAAGGUCAGUUAAAUAACUGAGAGCUACUUCUGAAAUGAAGGAUUUGAAGAGUUUAUAUGCGCUAGUACUGACGCUGGCCAGGGGAUAGCUUGUGGAUGGUACUACCGUGUUUCAUGCCUCAGUAUCAUUGAUCCAGAUGAUUCUGAUAUAUCAUCUACAGUAAGCGGAGAAAGCUAGUGUAUUCUGUCACUAGAUUCAGAAUUUUCCUUGUUCGUUUCUGUCUCUCCUCUACAUUAAGUUGAAUUAUACGAGUUGAUUUGAAUCAUAUCAACCAUAUAGUGAACUAGUCUCUCUUGGUGGAUAAAGAGAGUUUAGAGCAUGGUGAUAGUGAGCUGACCUUUCGAGUGAUAUCCAUGAGAUCAUGGAAAUUUUACACUCCAAUCCAUGAUUUGGAGGGUUCAAUCAAACCUGCUUUCAUUAUCUCUAUCUCAUCCUCCUCUUCAUCCCAGUCUGAUAAGACUCUUGGAACACCGAUGAUGGCACCAGAUCGGUUAGAACCAAUUCAGAGCUCUUGUAGUGGGGUCUUCAAUCAGUAUGGUUCUUUUGUAGAGGAUUCUAAUUCGUGUGGUUCAAUCCCAUAUCCAUAUGAUGGAAAAAUUACUGCUUUGAUGGAAGCUGCUAACAAGAAAAAUAAAGGGCCUCAGGAACAGCUCUCAGGGCUUGCUCUAGAUGCUUCACAGCCACCAGUGCAGAAGAAGCCGAAGCUUUAGCGUUAAGGAAGGCGGCUGAGUGGGCAACAUAAAUGUCUUUGCAAAUUUUUUGGAUUGAAGGCGACUGCGAAGGACUCAUUUCAAAAGCUCAAGGAAGCCUCCGCACGAUCAAACGGCAGAAUGAAAAAAUACUGACAGAGACAACAUAUCUUGCCUACAGCUCCAAAUUCUUUUUCUUUUGGGUUUUCUGUUCAUCUCUAAGAAGGGUUAUAGAGUGACAGACAAACUAGCAAAGGAAGCAAGGAAGCCUGGCAGGUAUCAAGCUGGAACUUUAACACUCUAAUGCCUAGUUAUAUCUUAAAGUUUUUAUUUUCAGAUAGUUUUAAUGUGGAUAUCAGGGAUGAUAGGUCUUUCCUCUGUUUAAGAGAGACACUCAUGUUGGGAGCUAUACCUACAUCCUGUUGCUAUGUGAGGAGCAACAGUCACAAGUUACAUGUUUAAUUUUGAACAAUUUGAUGUUUCUGAUAAUAAUAGCAGAUAUCUUGACGGAAA